UGAGCCACUGUGCCCAGCCUCAGACUCUUAAUCAUAGAAGCCCAAUGUAUGAAACAGAGGGAAGCAGGGCUGUUCUGAGUGAAGCAGUGGAUGUGGGUGGGUAAGGUGGGGUUGGCCUCCCCUCUGUCUCCCCCUACACCCUCCAUGUGGCUUCUUCCAGCUUCUCUAAGGAACUACGAGUUGGAAACACUGCCCUAGUUCAAGCUCUUUGCUUUAACCAGUGAGAAAACAGCAGACCGGCAAGGGAACCAAUUCCAAUGCACAGCUUCCAGGGAUGAGCAAUGGAGGACAGAAUGGAAUAGAGCAGGAACUAAGCAAGGAUGCUAAUGCAAGAUAUAGCCGCUGUCCUUCCCAGCUUUGGUGGGAGUUGGCUCUGACUAGAUCUGUCAGGCCUCUGUGAAGUCUUCCUGACUGAGUCUCUCUCUAUGAGCAGAGUGGGGCCAAGAAGCCACCCCAACUCCUACCCCCGGGCAGCCUGGUCGCCCUGGCCCUGCCCACACAGCCUGCCCUGAGGCAUGCUGAGAUCCCAGUCUGCAUCAGGGCUGCCCAUCUGCCUUGGUGCUCAUCACCUUGACAUGAACAGGCCCGAAGUUCUUUUCCAGGAUGGCAGAGCCUUCAGAACCAUCAACUCCUACCCCUCCAUCGUGCAGAGGCCCAGAGAGGGACAGAGACCUGCCCAACACCACAGCAAUGAAGUGGACAAUGAAGAUUCAAAACCACAUUUGCGGUCUCCUCAUUCCGAGAGGAGAUUCUAGAUGAGCCCCGUUACAGGAGUGUAUUUGCACCGGCACACGCCAAGGGACUCCAUCCCCAUGACGCAGAUGGCCCGGGACCUUCUUCCUUUCCAGGCUGUCCCUUCCUCUUGGGUCCCUGAGAGGGCAGUCCUGGUGAGGGCAGGAGAGGACAGCUAAGGCUAAGGAGCUUGGGAAAAGAUGUCCUCUUAAGAACUGCUUUCCAGCACAUGUUGUCCCACCUUCUGAAAUUCAAGGAGAUGGUUAAAAGAGAAAAGCCUUUCUCCGGACCCACCUGCAGCAUUAAGAACCAUGGGUUGGGCUGGGCACGGUGGCUCAUGCCUGUAAUCCUAGCACUUUGGGAGGCCGAGGUGGGUGGAUCAGUUGAGGU
rnacentral:lncRNA from 1 species